rnacentral:rRNA from 1 species
GACGAACCGUGCGAACGUUAUUCGGAAUUACUGGGCUUAAAGCGCGUGUAGGCGGGCCAGCACGUCCGUAGCUGAAAGCCCCCGGCUCAACCGGGGAAGUGGCGUGGAUACGGCUGGCCUGGAGGGGGGUAGGGGGAUCUGGAACUUCCGGUGGAGCGGUGAAAUGCGUUGAGAUCGGAAGGAACGCCCGUGGCGAAAGCGAGAUCCUGGACCCUUUCUGACGCUGAGACGCGAAAGCCAGGGGAGCGAACGGG